rnacentral:rRNA from 1 species
UAGACUUGACAUCUCCUGAAUUACUCUUAAUCGAGGAAGUCCCUUCGGGGACAGGAAGACAGGUGGUGCAUGGUUGUCGUCAGCUCGUGUCGUGAGAUGUUGGGUUAAGUCCCGCAACGAGCGCAACCCUUAUUGUUAGUUGCUACUAUUAAGUUAAGCACUCUAACGAGACUGCCGCGGUUAACGUGGAGGAAGGUGGGGAUGACGUCAAAUCAUCAUGCCCCUUAUGUCUAGGGCUACACACGUGCUACAAUGGCUGGUACAACGAGCAGCAAACCCGCGAGGGGGAGCAAAACUUGAAAGCCAGUCCCAGUUCGGAUUGUAGGCUGAAACUCGCCUACAUGAAGUUGGAGUUGCUAGUAAUCGCGAAUCAGCAUGUCGCGGUGAAUACGUUCCCGGGUC